rnacentral:rRNA from 1 species
UACAGAGGUGCCGAGCGUUAGGCGGAAUCACUGGGCUUAAAGCGUGUGUAGGCGGACUUCUCAGUACCUUGUGAAAUCCCACGGCUCACCCGUGGAACUGCUGGGUAUACUGGUCGUCUUGAGCCACCUAGGGGCCAGCGGAACAAAUGGUGGAGCGGUGAAAUGCGUAGAUAUCAUUUGGAACGCCAACGGUGAAAACAGCUGGCUGGGGGUGUGCUGACGCUGAGACACGAAAGCCAGGGGAGCGAACGGG